UUGGAGGGCAAGUCUGGUGCCAGCAGCCGCGGUAAUUCCAGCUCCAAUAGCGUAUAUUAAAGUUGUUGCAGUUAAAAAGCUCGUAGUUGAAUUUCGGGAUCAGUAGGUUGGUCAUGCCUAUGGUAUGUACUGGCUUUACUGGUUCCUCCUUCUUGAUGAUCUGUAAUGUCAUUAAUUUGGUGUUGCAGGGAGUCAGGACUGUUACUUUGAAAAAAUUAGAGUGUUUAAAGCAGGCAUACGCUUGAAUACAUUAGCAUGGAAUAACGAAAUAGGACGUUCGAUCCUAUUUUGUUGGUUUCUAGGAUUGACGUAAUGAUUAAUAGGGAUAGUUGGGGGCAUUAGUAUUCAAUUGUCAGAGGUGAAAUUCUUGGAUUUAUUGAAGACUAACUACUGCGAAAGCAUUUGCCAAGGAUGUUUUCAUUAAUCAAGAACGAAAGUUAGGGGAUCGAAGACGAUCAGAUACCGUCGUAGUCUUAACCAUAAACUAUGCCGACUAGGGAUCGGAUGAUGUUAUUUUUAAUGACUCAUUCGGCGCCUUACGGGAAAC
rnacentral:rRNA from 1 species